AAAUGCAAGUCGAGCGGACCGACGGGAGCUUGCUCCCUUAGGUCAGCGGCGGACGGGUGAGUAACACGUGGGUAACCUGCCUGUAAGACUGGGAUAACUCCGGGAAACCGGGGCUAAUACCGGAUGCUUGAUUGAACCGCAUGGUUCAAUCAUAAAAGGUGGCUUUUAGCUACCACUUACAGAUGGACCCGCGGCGCAAUAGCUAGUUGGUGAGGUAACGGCUCACCAAGGCGACGAUGCGUAGCCCACCUGAGAGGGUGAUCGGCCACACUGGGACUGAAACACGGCCCAGACUCCUACGGGAGGCAGCAGUAGGGAAUCUUCCGCAAUGGACGAAAGUCUGACGGAACAACGCCGCGUGAGUGAUGAAGGUUUUCGGAUCGUAAAACUCUGUUGUUAGGGAAGAACAAGUACCGUUCGAAUAGGGCGGUACCUUGACGGUACCUAACCAGAAAGCCACGGCUAACUACGUGCCAGCAGCCGCGGUAAUACGUAAGUGGCAAGCGUUGUCCGGAAUUAUUGGGCGUAAAGCGCGCGCAGGCGGUUUCUUAAGUCUGAUGUGAAAGCCCCCGGCUCAACCGGGGAGGGUCAUUGGAAACUGGGGAACUUGAGUGCAGAAGAGGAGAGUGGAAUUCCACGUGUAGCGGUGAAAUGCGUAGAGAUGUGGAGGAACACCAGUGGCGAAGGCGACUCUCUGGUCUGUAACUGACGCUGAGGCGCGAAAGCGUGGGGAGCGAACAGGAUUAGAUACCCUGGUAGUCCACGCCGUAAACGAUGAGUGCUAAGUGUUAGAGGGUUUCCGCCCUUUAGUGCU
rnacentral:rRNA from 1 species